rnacentral:rRNA from 1 species
ACAGAGGGUGCAAGCGUUAAUCGGAAUUACUGGGCGUAAAGCGCGCGUAGGUGGUUUGUUAAGUUGGAUGUGAAAGCCCCGGGCUCAACCUGGGAACUGCAUCCAAAACUGGCAAGCUAGAGUACGGUAGAGGGUGGUGGAAUUUCCUGUGUAGCGGUGAAAUGCGUAGAUAUAGGAAGGAACACCAGUGGCGAAGGCGACCACCUGGACUGAUACUGACACUGAGGUGCGAAAGCGUGGGGAGCAAACAGG